UACGGGAGGCAGCAGUGAGGAAUAUUGGUCAAUGGGCGAGAGCCUGAACCAGCCAAGUAGCGUGCAGGAUGACGGCCCUAUGGGUUGUAAACUGCUUUUAUGCGGGGAUAAAGUUCACUACGUGUAGUGUUUUGCAGGUACCGCAUGAAUAAGGACCGGCUAAUUCCGUGCCAGCAGCCGCGGUAAU
rnacentral:rRNA from 1 species